UAUCUCUGUAGAGUCUGCAUAUCAAUAAGCGGAGGAAAAGAAACUAACUAGGAUUCCCCUCAGUAACGGCGAGUGAAGCGGGAAGAGCUCAAAUUUGAAAUCUUCAAGGUUUUACCUUGACGAAUUGUAGUUUAAAGAAGUGUUUUCUGUUGGAGUUUUGGUAAAAGUUCUUUGGAAUAGGACAUCAUAGAGGGUGAGAAUCCCGUAUUUGACCAUUAUUUCUAGCUUUGUGAUACACUUUCAAAGAGUCGGAUUGUUUGGGAAUGCAGUCCAAAAUGGGUGGUAAAUUUCAUCUAAAGCUAAAUAUUGGCGAGAGACCGAUAGCGAACAAGUACCGUGAGGGAAAGAUGAAAAGAACUUUGAAAAGAGAGUUAAACAGUACGUGAAAUUGUCAAAAGGGAAGCGUUUGACACCAGUGUUGUUUUCUCGAAAAUCAAUUAAAAAGUGCUAGGAUUUUGUGUUGUAUUGACUUUAUCAGCUUUCUGCACUCUUUUCUUGUCUUUUUUAAUGCACUUUUCGUUUAACAAGUCAACAUCAAUUUCUUUUGUUGUAAAAGGGUCAUUGGAAGGUGGCUUUCUUUUCGGAGAAAGUGUUUAUAGCCUUUGGCCUCUGCAACCGGAGAGAUUGAGGUCUGCAGCGUAGACUCUUCGGGGUUAGAUACGUCGGUGCUAAGCUAUAGCUUUUCAUAGACAACUUGUUGACUAUGUUUAGUCAUGUGGCUUACCCGCUGGCGCUAUUUUACCUACGCUUAGGAUGUUGAGUCAUCACACAUCUCU
rnacentral:rRNA from 1 species